GGGCCCGUAGCUCAAUUGGUAGAGCGCCUGUUUUGCACUCAGGAGGCAAGGAGUUCGAAUCUCCUCGGGUCCA
rnacentral:tRNA from 1 species